GGAGUUGUAAUCGAAGGUGACCCGGCCAUUGGUCUUGCUGUAACCCAUGUCUGGAUCGUACCGAAAGUAGGGGAGAGGUUUCGGUGAUGCGUCGACGUAUAAGAUUGGGCUAUCGGUGCCCAUGACGAGGGUGUAUGGCCCCGGUGAGCCGUCGGAGAUGGACUUGCGGCUGAUCAGCUUCUUGGCGCCGCCGACGGGGAGAGACUGUCCGAUCAUUAGGGUAUCGGUGGGAUGGUCGAAGCUCUGCCAGAGGAACCGGUCCUUCUUGUCGUAGAGGACGAUGUUGCCGUUGGGGAG
rnacentral:lncRNA from 1 species